UACGUAGGGCGCAAGCGUUGUCCGGAAUUAUUGGGCGUAAAGAGCUCGUAGGCGGUUUGUCGCGUCUGCUGUGAAAACCUCAGGCUCAACCUGGGGCUUGCAGUGGGUACGGGCAGACUAGAGUGCGGUAGGGGGUGACUGGAAUUCCUGGUGUAGCGGUGGAAUGCGCAGAUAUCAGGAGGAACACCGAUGGCGAAGGCAGGUCACUGGGCCGCAACUGACGCUGGAGGAGCGAAAGCAUGGGGGAGCGAACAGG
rnacentral:rRNA from 1 species